AUUGAACGCUGGCGGCAUGCUUUACACAUGCAAGUCGAACGGCAGCGCGGACUUCGGUCUUGCGUCGAGUGGCGAACGGGUGAGUAAUGUAUCGGAACGUGCCCAGUAGCGGGGGAUAACUACGCGAAAGCGUAGCUAAUACCGCAUACGCCCUGCGGGGGAAAGCGGGGGAUCUUAAGACCUUGCGCUAUUGGAUGAGCCGAGAUCGGAUUAGCUAGUUGGUGAGGUAACGGCUUACCAAGGCGACGAUCCGUAGCUGGUUUGAGAGGAUGACCAGCCACACUGGAACUGAGACACGGCCCAGACUCCUACGGGAGGCAGCAGUGGGGAAUUUUGGACAAUGGGCGAAAGCCUGAUCCAGCCAUCCCGCGUGUGCGAAGAAGGCCUUCGGGUUGUAAAGCACUUUUGGUAGGAAAGAAACGCAGCAAGUUAAUACCCCGUGGAACUGACGGUACCUGCAGAAUAAGCACCGGCUAACUACGUG
rnacentral:rRNA from 1 species